GCGGGUAUCGUAUAGUGGCUCAUUAUGUCAGCCUUCCAAGCUGAAGAGACGGGUUCGAUUCCCGUUACCCGCUCCA
rnacentral:tRNA from 1 species